rnacentral:rRNA from 1 species
CCUACUGGAGGCAGCAGUGGGGAAUAUUGCACAAUGGGGGAAACCCUGAUGCAGCAACGCCGCGUGAGCGAUGAAGGCCUUCGGGUCGUAAAACUCUGUCCUAAGGGAAGAAUACUGACGGUACCUUAGGAGGAAGCCCCGGCUAACUACGUGCCAGCAGCCGCGGUAAUACGUAGGGGGCAAGCGUUAUCCGGAAUCACUGGGUGUAAAGGGUGCGUAGGCGGUAGGGCAAGUCAGAUGUGAAAGCCCGGAGCUCAACUCCGGGAUUGCAUUUGAAACUGUCUUACUAGAGUGCAGGAGAGGAAAGCGGAAUUCCUAGUGUAGCGGUGAAAUGCGUAGAUAUUAGGAAGAACACCAGUGGCGAAGGCGGCUUUCUGGACUGUAACUGACGCUGAGGCACGAAAGCGUGGGGAGCGAACAGGAUUAGAUACCCUUGUAGUC